CGAGCACGCGCGUGUGGAUAUCAAUAAGCGGAGGAAAAGAAACUAACUAGGAUUCCCUUAGUAACGGCGAGUGAAGCGGGAAGAGCUUAAAUUUGAAAUCUUCAAGGUUUUACCUUGACGAAUUGUAGUUUAAAGAAGUGUUUUCUGCUGGAAUUUUGGUAAAAGUUCUUUGGAAAUAGGACAUCAUAAGAGGGUGAGAAUCCCGUAUUUGACCAUUAUUUCCAGCUGUGUGAUACACUUUCAAAGAGUCGGAUUGUUUGGGAAUGCAGUCCAAAAUGGGUGGUAAAUUUCAUCUAAAGCUAAAUAUUGGCGAGAGACCGAUAGCGAACAAGUACCGUGAGGGAAAGAUGAAAAGAACUUUGAAAAGAGAGUUAAACAGUACGUGAAAUUGUCAAAAGGGAAGCGUUUGACACCAGUGUUGUUUUUCCGAAAAUCAAUUACGAAUGUUUUAUUUUUGAGGAGUUAUGACUUCAUCGGCUUGCUUCUUCCUUUACUGAAACUUUUUAAUGCACUUUUCGGUUAACAAGUCAACAUCAAUUUCUUUUGUUGUAAAAGAGUCAUUGAGGAAGGUGGCUUUCUUUUCGGAGAAAGUGUUUAUAGCCUUGUGCUUCUGCAAUCGGAGAGAUUGAGGUCUGCAGCGUAGAUCCUUCGGGGUUAGAUACAGUUUGUGCUAAGUUAUAGCCUUUCAUAGACAACUUGUUGACUAUGAUCAGUCAUGUAGCUUACUCGCUUAUGCUAUUUUACCUACGCUUAGGAUGUUGAAGUCAUCGUAUCGCGC
rnacentral:rRNA from 1 species